UACGGGGGAUGCAAGCGUUAUCCGGAAUCAUUGGGCGUAAAGCGCCUGUAGGUUGUUUAAUAAGUCUGUUGUUAAAGACUGGGGCUUAACCCCAGGAAAGCAAUGGAAACUACUAGACUAGAGUAUGGUAGGGGUAAAGGGAAUUUCUAGUGUAGCGGUGAAAUGCGUAGAUAUUAGAAAGAACACCGGUGGCGAAAGCGCUCUACUGGACCAUUACUGACACUCAGAGACGAAAGCUAGGGGAGCGAAAGGGAUUAGAUACCCCUGUAGUCCUAGCCGUAAACGAUGGAUACUAGAUGUUGUGUUUUUAUACAGUAUCGUAGCUAACGCGUUAAGUAUCCCGCCUGGGGAGUACGCUCGCAAGGGUG
rnacentral:rRNA from 1 species